UUGACCCCAAUCAGGUAGGACUACCC
rnacentral:rRNA from 1 species